GAUGAAGAACGUAGCGAAAUGCGAUAAGUAGUGUGAAUUGCAGAAUUCAGUGAAUCAUCGAAUCUUUGAACGCACAUUGCGCCCCAUGGUAUUCCGUGAGGCAUGCCUGUUCGAGCGUCAUUUACCCCCUCAAGCUCCGCUUGGUGUUGGGCGUCUGUCCCGCUUCGCGCGCGGACUCGCCCCAAAGGUAUUGGCAGCGGUCGUGCCAGCUUCUCGCGCAGCACAUUGCGCUUCUCGAGGCACCGGUGGGCCCGCGUCCAUCAAGCUCACCCCCCCAGUUUGACCUCGGAUCAGGUAGGGAUACCCGCUGAACUUAAGCAUAUCAAUAAGCGGAGGA
rnacentral:misc_RNA from 1 species